GACGAACGCUGGCGGUGUGCUUCACACAUGCAAGUCGAACGAGGUAGCAAUACCUAGUGGCGGACGGGUGAGUAACGCGUGGGAAUCUGCCUUUAGAUGGGGGAUAACGGGUCGAAAGACUCGCUAAUACCGCAUAUGACGAAAGUUGAAAGGAGUAAUCCGUCUAAAGAUGAGCCCGCGUCCGAUUAGCUAGUUGGUAGAGUAAAAGCCUACCAAGGCGACGAUCGGUAGCUGGUCUGAGAGGAUGAUCAGCCACAAUGGGAACUAGAGACACGGCCCGAUACUCCUACGGAGGCAGCAGUGGGAAUUUACGCAAUGGCGAAAGCCUGACGUAGCGACACCGCGUGAGCG
rnacentral:rRNA from 1 species